UACGGGGGGAGCAAGCGUUGUUCGGAUUUACUGGGCGUAAAGAGCUCGUAGGUGGUUUGUCGCGUUGUUCGUGAAAACUCACAGCUUAACUGUGGGCGUGCGGGCGAUACGGGCAGACUGGAGUACUGCAGGGGAGACUGGAAUUCCUGGUGUAGCGGUGGAAUGCGCAGAUAUCGGGAGGAACACCGGUGGCGAAGGCGGUUCUCUGGGCCUUACCUGACGCUGAGGAGCGAAAGCGUGGGGAGCGAACAGG
rnacentral:rRNA from 1 species